rnacentral:rRNA from 1 species
UACGGGGGGGGCAAGCGUUGUUCGGAAUUACUGGGCGUAAAGGGCGCGUAGGCGGCCUGCUAAGUCGGACGUGAAAUCCCCCGGCUCGACCGGGGAACUGCGUCCGAUACUGGUGGGCUCGAAUCCGGGAGAGGGAUGUGGAAUUCCAGGUGUAGCGGUGAAAUGCGUAGAUAUCUGGAGGAACACCGGUGGCGAAGGCGGCAUCCUGGACCGGUAUUGACGCUGAGGCGCGAAAGCCAGGGGAGCAAACGGG